rnacentral:lncRNA from 1 species
GUAGCAGAAAUCACAGAGCUAAUACAGAAAGCUUUGGAAAAUGACCAGAGAGUUAGGAAAGAAGGUGGAAAAUUUGGCUUUGCAGAGUCUAUAGCAAAUCAGAGAAUCACAGCAUUUAAAAUGGAGAAGGCCCCUAUUGAUACCUCCAACAUAGAAGAGAAAGCAGAAGAAAUUAUUGCGGAAGCCGAACCUCCUCCAGAGGUUGUUUCUAAACCUGUGCUGUGGACUCCUGGAACUGCCCAGAUUGGAGAGGGAAUAGAAAACUCCUGGGGUGACCUUGAAGAUUCUGAGAAGGAAGAGGAGGAGGAAGGUGGCAUUGAUGAAACUGUCAUUCUUGAUGAUACAAAGAUGGACACGGGAGAAGUUUCUGAUAUUGGGAGCCAAGCUCCAAGGAAACUGACCAUCUUCUGGCCUGUGGGUGCCAGCACAUAUACACACAAAACUUCAAAACAAACUAUGAUGGCACAGUACUGCUCAGUACAAUUAUCUGUGGUGCCCCUAUAGUGCUAUCAGAUAGUGAAGAAGAAGAAAUGAUUAUUUUGGAGCCAGAGAAGAGUCCAAAAAAAAUAAGAGCUCAGACCAGUGCAAACCAGAAGGCACCAAGUAAAAGUCAAGGGAAAAGGAGGAAAAAGAAGAGAACUGCUAAUUAAGCUAAAGUGGUGUGGAUGUGUAUGUAUAUAUAUAUAUAAAAUAUAUAUAUAUAUAACUAAUAAGAGGGUAUUUGCUCAGUGCUAACAGCUCUGGAUAUUUUUUAUUUGAAAAUCUAUUAUGAGCUGAACUUAAUAAACUGUUUUGUCUUUAACAUUAUGCUUCGAAUAAACUUUCUGGAAAACUUUUCUGUUGCAUAAAAGCUUCCCAAUUCAUGUAAAACCUUAUUUGUAAAAGUUGGUAAAUAAAAUGUCUCCAUAAACUACUGUAACAUGUGAGCUCUGAAUGAGUUCUGCUACACUGAAAACAGAUUCAUCUACUUUUGGUUACUUAUAACCAAGUCAGAAACUUGGUUUGGUUGCUUACAAUUAUUAAAAUCAAUGUCAAAAUUUGAAGGCAUCUUUCCCUGAAAUAUUUUAUUUUAUAAAAAGCUUUCCCUACCCCACCCUCAACAAUAAAACAAAUCAAAUUAGCUUUUUUAAGUGACAUCAUUCUUUUUGCCUCAAAUUAACUUUGACUUGCAAAGAUUUCUGAAUCAAUUUAUUCUUAUUAUCCUGACAGUUGGCAGCACCAAUGUUAACAAACCAAUUAAAAUUAGCCAAAUUAUCUAUCACUUUCAAAGAUUUCCAAAUCAAUUUAUUCUUAUUAUCUUGACAGUUGGCAGCACCAAUGUUAACAAACCAAUUAAAAAUUAGCCAAAAUCUAAGAUAGACACAUGUACAAAAGAUAUACAAAUUAAAACCAUUUUAAAAGUAAUGGAUAACAUAAUUUGUCUGUGGCUAUACCAUCUACAUUCAGAAAUGAUUGUGAAAUUAAAACCAAAGAUAAAAACUGUACAGCAUGAACUCUGAGCGAUUUCCAUUUCAGUCUUUCACUCUCACACAUUUAGUGUCUCUGGUGGGUUGAGAAGAGAAACACUGUGAUAUCUGUUAAGCAGAGGAAAUAAAAACCUAUUAGUAAACAUUCAUCGGGGAGAUCACAGAACAAACAAUUUAUGCGUCCCAAGACUGGAGAAAUGCUACUUUUAUUUGAUUAGACUAAUGAGUUUAAAAACAUUUGAUACUUAGGACACAUAUCUGUUCCCUUACCCAUCUCUUACCAGAUGCAAAGGCACAAAAGCUUCCUAUGUUGACAUAAGAUCUUACUGAGGUGGCUGUGGCAUAUUACUGUUAUCCUUUAGUCAGUAAAGAAUAUGGUUCUUACUUUGAAUGCUUGUACUUUUCCCUUAUUGACUGUUGGGCAUGCUGUGGUGCUUUGAGGUAGGUCUGGUG